rnacentral:rRNA from 1 species
UGGGGAAUAUUGCACAAUGGGGGAAACCCUGAUGCAGCAACGCCGCGUGAAGGAAGACGGUUUUCGGAUUGUAAACUUCUUUUCUUAGUGAAGAAACAAAUGACGGUAGCUAAGGAAUAAGCAUCGGCUAACUACGUGCCAGAGCCGCGGUAAUACGUAGGAUGCGAGCGUUAUCCGGAAUACUGGGUGUAAAGGGAGCGCAGGCGGGACUGCAAGUUGGAUGUGAAAUGCCGCAGCUUAACUGCGGAGCUGCAUCCAAAACUGUAGUUCUUGAGUGGAGUAAAGGCAAGCGGAAUUCCGAGUGUAGCGGUGAAAUGCGUAGAUAUUCGGAGGAACACCAGUGGCGAAGGCGGCUUGCUGGGCUCUAACUGACGCUGAGGCUCGAAAGUGUGGGGAGCAAACAGGAUUAGAUACC